GAUGAACGCUGGCGGCGUGCUUAAUACAUGCAAGUCGAGCGAACAGACGAGGAGCUUGCUCCUCUGACGUUAGCGGCGGACGGGUGAGUAACACGUGGAUAACCUACCUAUAAGACUGGGAUAACUUCGGGAAACCGGAGCUAAUACCGGAUAAUAUAUUGAACCGCAUGGUUCAAUAGUGAAAGACGGUUUUGCUGUCACUUAUAGGUGGAUCCGCGCCGCAUUAGCUAGUUGGUAAGGUAACGGCUUACCAAGGCAACGAUGCGUAGCCGACCUGAGAGGGUGAUCGGCGACACUGGAACUGAGACACGGUCCAGACUCCUACGGGAGGCAGCAGUAGGGAAUCUUCCGCAAUGGGCGAAAGCCUGACGGAGCAACGCCGCGUGAGUGAUGAAGGUCUUCGGAUCGUAAAACUCUGUUAUUAGGGAAGAACAAAUGUGUAAGUAACUAUGCACGUCUUGACGGUACCUAAUCAGAAAGCCACGGCUAACUACGUG
rnacentral:rRNA from 1 species